AUUGAACGCUGGCGGCAGGCUUAACACAUGAGAUUCGAGCGGGGGAAGGUAGCUUGCUACCGGACCUAGCGGCGGACGGGUGAGUAAUGCUUAGGAAUCUGCCUAUUAGUGGGGGACAACAUCUCGAAAGGGAUGGUAAUACCGCAUACGUCCUACGGGAGAAAGCAGGGGAACUUAGGACCUUGCGCUAAUAGAUGAGCCUAAGUCGGAUUAGGUAGUUGGUGGGGUACAAGCCUACCAAGGCGACGAUCUGUAGCGGGUCUGAGAGGAUGAUCGGCCACACGGGGACUGAGACACGGCCCCGACUCCUACGGGAGGCAGCAGUGGGGAAUAUUGGACAAUGGGGGGAACCCUGAUCCAGCCAUGCCGCGUGUGUGAAGAAGGCCUUAUGGUUGUAAAGCACUUUAAGCGAGGAGGAGGCUACUUUAGUUAAUACCUAGAGAUAGUGGACGUUACUAGCAGAAUAAGCACCGGCUAACUCUGUGCCAGCAGCCGCAGUAA
rnacentral:rRNA from 1 species